rnacentral:lncRNA from 1 species
UCAGACAAAGGUAUAGUAUUAGAGGGUGAAUUGGAAGUAGAAGUAGGAAAUGAAUGAGAAGAAGCAGGGGAAUGGGAAGGACUGAUUGAUGGAAGAUUAGGAGAAGCAAGAUAGUCAGGGCAGGGAGGAGGAAUAGAAGAUGAAGCAGAUACAUCAGUAGGAUGUGGAUAGUCAUGGCAAAAAGAAGGAAUAGAAGAUGGGACAGAGGAGGUACUCCAAGGAAAAGCAAAAGGAAAAACAUCUUCAUGGAAAACAACAUCCCUGGAAAUGAAAGUAAGUUUAGUUUUCAAGUUAUAUAAUUUGUAACCCUUUUUACCCAGUGGGUACCCUAUGAAUACACAAGGAUCAGCCCUUGGUUGAAACUUAUCUCUA